rnacentral:lncRNA from 1 species
AAAAAAAACUGGGUUUAGGGUGUGAGGCAGGAUUUCUGUAGGUAGCACGACCACCCAGGAGAGCAUCACUGUCAGGUUUCACAGGGUGGAACUUUGAAGGGGGCAGCCUUAUCGGAAGGACUGAGGAAGACCUGAGACUUCAGCCGAGGAAAGCCGUAGAUACAACUUGAGGAAACUGAGGUCCUUUUUGACGACUAGGAUGGUCUAAAAAACUGAACUAUUAGAGAGCCAAAGGAAGUAUAGCCGCUCAUUCUUAACAAAAGAUCAUGCGACGGAUCUGUGAACCCAGGGCCGAGGCGACCAGAGGACAAUAUUAACCACUAGGCCACCAGCCCACCAGCUCUCGCACAGACUCAGGAUUUCUGAAGAGUAGAAAAUACACAAAUGAAGAGUGAAUUAUUAUGCUGGAAUAUCAAGAAGAGAACUUCUCCCAGAAUAUAUUGAUAACGAAUGAAAAUAUGAGAUAUGAGAUAAAAUUUACAGACGUUGUUUUGAGAUAAAAUGACACUUGGAAUUGUUGGAAUGCAACUGUCUUGAGUCCAUGAGGGCAGACACUGCCAAUACAGGGAGGUGGGCAAAGCAUAAAGAAGAAAAGCAUCUUCGUCGCUGAUAACAUCAUUGAACUGCAGAACCAAACUUGGAAAUCUCCGUUUCUGAGCUUCCUAAGUGAGACAGUGAGUUCCUAUUGUUUAAGCUGCUUUCCAUCAGUUCUUCUAUCACUCACCGUUGACAUAGAGACUACAUCCUCAGACACAAACCGACACACACGGGG